rnacentral:lncRNA from 1 species
GCCAGUCUUCCAACUUCCCCUUUCCAAAUUCUCUUCCAUUCCUAUGCAACGGACCAACCGAGGAACGGAGGAAGCCAAUUCACAUCAGCACCGCCUCCAACCGCUGUAAUUCCACUCUACGGCCAGCGUCAAGGCCAUACAGUCGUCCCCUGUCCACCACCAAAAAGGGUUUUGUUGACUUCCUUUUUGGGACACUGGAAAGUAUUACAUGAAAAUUCAUUCCUUAAUGUAGUCGGCAAUUGAUUAUCAAUACUAUUUGCUUCAGCUUCAGGUACCCUCAUUCUCUAUCUUCUAGUCUCUUCUAAUUUAACCAUUAUUUUUGUUAAAAUAGUUUCACAAAAUGAAGUUAAGUUCUGUUUAAUAUUAGUGGAGUGCUUUGUUUUUUAGCGAGCAGAUUGAAUUAUGUUGAAGUUUCAGUAUUUUUUCAUUUAUUGGUGUUAACAAUUGGUGAUGAAUAUUUAGUUGUCAACAUUUGAGGUUUUAUUAAACAGUAUAAACAAGUAAAUUUGCAGCUGCAAGGGGUCAAAUCCUACUCUGGAAAAUGGUUUUUGUGGGUGUAGGCAAGGAAAUGCUCAAUUAUGGUUUCGAAUUGGCGGAGAGAAAUCUAUGGAGUACAGGUCGCAGUCGAAAGUUCGAAGAGGGAGAAGAACAGGUAGGUGAUCACCAAGGCAACAUGUGACAGAACUCUAGAGAUAGUCUUCUUGUGUGUCUUCGAGAGUGAAGAAUCAAAAGGCUCCUCUCUUGGAAGGAGAGGGCUAUUUAUAGGAGAGGGCUAUUUAUAGGAGAGGCAUUCUCUGGUAAUUAAUCAUGCGCCCUGGCACAUGAUUAGGCCAUGUGGCUGGUAUUUGACUUCAAGUUAACUACUGGAAAUGCCGUUGUUGCCUUAAGUGAUGCCUAGGUCCUUCCGUCUUUCUAGCUACUAAUCCAAAUCUAUCAAUCAUUUUCCAAUAGAAGCUGCCUCCGUAAGCUUUCUGCCAAGGAACAUACGGAGGCCUCUUCGGUCUUUAUAUCAAUGAUUUGCUCCUUUGAUCAAAUCACGCUUCCACUUUCGUACCUCUUCAAAACACCGCAACUUAGAGGUUUCAUUGGCGAAGGACCCCAAGGGAGGCCUUGGCGAACCCUAGGGGUGUCGAUAGGGUUGUAAAUGUAGUCCAAAAUAUUUGAUAUUUGCUUCGAAAAUUCGUAUUUGUAUUUGCGUCAAAGCGGAUCCGUAGUCAUGUCAAAGCGAAUAUUAUCUGUAUUCGUAUUUGUCCAAAGCGGAUACAGAUACAUAUAUAUGCAUAUUUGUAUUCAUUAAUAUCCGUAUGCGUAAUAUAUAUAUAUAUAUAUAUAUAUAUAUAUAUAUUUAUAUAUAUGGCUGAAUAUAUGUAUAUAUACAUACAUACAUAUACAUAUAUAAACUCUCAUUUAAUAUUAGUAUACAAUAUAUGAAAGUAGUAACAACAAUUGAUUAUACAUCUUUUAUGAACAUUUUAUGAUAUACGAUAUAAAAAAGAUACGUAUGGAUAUUGUAUCUAGUUUUAUAGUUUAGUUGGUUGAUUAUAUAUUGUUGGGUCGUGAUUAUUUGGGCCCGGAUGAUUUGGUGGGCCAAAGUCCACGUGGAGGAAGUCUACCCUGCGUAGGAAUUUUGUUUGAAAGUAGAAGUAUUUUAAGGAAUCCAUAAUUCCUAAUUACAUUUGAUUUCCAGCUCCUAAGAAAAGUGUCAUGAUAUUAUCCGAUUUCCUUUCUUUAAGGAGAUUGAGUUCAUUCCCAUUAAGGUAUCUACCUAAUGAGGAAUCCUAUUUCCAUACGGGGAAGGACAUGCAAAGGAGGUGUGAUCACUAUAAAUUUAAGGCUACACCAUAAUUAUCAGGUACACAUAAUUUAUUUACAACACUAGAGCAUUAAACCUCUAUUGUUAAACCUUAUUCAACCUGUACUUAUUCUCACAUUGGAGUUAUCCCCCGACGACACAAGUUGUCUAGCUUCGCAUGUAACUUAGUUUCUGUCCAGGAUUGGAUAUGCAUGUUAGAAACUACUCCCUCUGUCCUGUAAAUAUUCCAAUAUACCUUUUUGCACAAAUUUUAAUUUUUUUUUAAAUUCUUAUUUGAUUUCUUAAUUGACCCUUGUGAAAUUUAUGGUUGAAAAUACUCCAAGAAUAUAAAUCACAAAAGUUUUAGUUAGCGGAGGGAUCCACUAUAUAUUCAACUGAUAAAAGUGGCAUGACAAUAGGUAACUUAGUCAUUUAACUUCACAAAAGUUAGCAAAAAAUAAAGUGUUACAAUUUUGUCGGACUACUUAAAAGUGUUCUAAAAAUUUCCGUCUAGGCGGAUCAUCUACCGUCUAGAUUUUGCUAUGUGCCUAGUCCCCACCUAGGCAGAAUCAAACAUUUACUAUUGCAUCAUUUUGAUAUAGGCUUUGAAGCUUUACAAUACUUGAAAUGAAUUUGUUAAGCCUUAAAAGAUGGUAUUUUUUAGUAUUUUUAUGUAAAAUUUUAAGAAGUUACAUUUACUAUAUGCUUUUAUAGUACAACAAGUAUAUACAUAGUAUAUACAAAAGUUUGGAUUAUUACAUUUGUUUCCCAAGCUCGUAACUCGUUCAUUAUAGCUCAGAAUUGGUUCGUUCAAAAGCUAACUUCUUUAUUAUAGCUCGGAAUUGGUUUACAGCUAUAUCUCAUAUGGGUUAUGAUUGUGAAAUAAUAUGCCCCACAUUAUUAUUAUAUUUAAACCUUAUAUCUUUAUAUAUAUGCAUAUAUUUUGGUGUAUUUAAAUGUAAUAUUUUGAAAUCUAUCACACACAAAAAAAUUAUAUUUAAUAUUGUUGAUUGUAAACUAUGAAUAUAAUUGUGAGUUAUUUUUCUAUGUUUAAUGUAUUUUUUGAUGUACAAAAUAUUCAUAUAAUUCAUAUAAUUAUAUAUGUAUAAAUUGUGUAUUGUAAACUUAUCACCUUGCGGACGACUAAGCGGCAUAGUUGUCACGGCGCCAUGAUGAGUCAUGGCGGUAACUAACUGCCUGGACGCUAUGGCGGUCGCCUUGACGACGAGGCGACCACCAUAGCGUUCGUAUGGCGACAAGUCGUUUACAAUGUGCAAUUUAUAUAUUAUUUAUUUUACUUAACAAGUAUAUUGGUAAUAAAAUUUUAUAUACAUUAAAACUCAAAACAUAACACUAUGGAAUAACAUUAAAUGCAUAAUUAUGUAUAUACUUAGCAAUAACAAUCCAAAAACAAAAAACUUGAUAUUAAAAAUUAGUAAAAGAAAUGAAGAAUUCAACAAACACCACAUAAAAAAUAAAGUUGCAACCAACCAUCACAAAUAUGUCGUCUAAUAAUUAAUAAAACACCACAUAACAAGCCAAAAUAAUGUCUAGACUCAAAUGUACUCCAAUUGAGCUCACAACCGAAAAAAAACAACAGAGGCCUAUAAUUCUUUUUGCAAACGAGGAUAACUCAAUAGCCCGCCCUCCAAAAGCCUUCCACCAAUCAACUAGCAAACAUUUAAAAGAAAUAUAAAUAUUUUUAAAGGGAGGAAAGGAAGAAUGUAUAUAAAUUAUAAUUAAAAUUUAGUUUUUAUAUCUUUAUAUAUAUAUAUAUUAAUAUAUUUACGAGGAUUCUUUAUUUUCCGUUGCCUAAUCACUAUUUCUCUUGCAAAAGUAUCUCGAGAGGCAUCAUAGUUGUCAGCUAGUUUGCUUAUCUUGUCUAACAAAUCUAGCUCGUGCACCAUCUUUGCAAGAAUGUCAUUGAAGUCAUCUCGUAAAGUAGUAGCAAACAACCGACGUUCCUCUUUGAUAUCAAAGUACUUACCCGGAUUGAGAAACAACGCAGCCUCAUAUAAUUUUUGCUCCAUUUGACUUUCCCACUGCUCAACAAUUUCAAUCCCCUUCUUAUACAGUCUUUGUUUGUUAUCAAAUGCAUCUUUGUUUUUUUCUUCGCGCAUUCCAUCGCAGCAAUAACUUCUGCAUAGCAGGCUUCUCAUCACUAUCAACAAUCCUCAAGACUAUAAGAAGUGACUGUGACGCCCUAAUGCAAUCAUCAACAUGAUGCCAAAAUGUUGUUGAAAUAACAGUAUCACAUACUUUCUUCCCAGCUUCAGGAGCCGACAACUUUGAUUUUGACCAAUCCUCGCUUAUGAACAAAUGUCUCAAUGCAUCUUUAUGCUUGUACAAACUCUGUAAGGUGAGGAAAGCUGUAGCAAAUCUAGUAAACUACGGGUCUCACAAGAUCCCAACCAUUUGUUUUGUCCCUCAUCGCAUUAAGAAGACGACCAUGCAUAUAAAUGAAUGUUGUGAUUCUUCUUGUAUUUGUGAUUGUGGGUUGGAAUUGCUUUUAACUUGCCUAUGUCCUCUAAGAUAAGGUCAAGGCAGUGAGCGGCACAAGGUGUCCAAAACAAUGUAGGCCUCCUCUUCAUUAGUAUAUGCCCCGCUGCCUUGUAAUUAGAGGCAUUGUCCGUGACCACUUGAACAACAUAUUCAGGGCCAAUUUCCUCAAUCUUGCUAUCAAGUAGAUUUGCCAACAUUGUGGCAUCUUGCGACUGACCGGAGGCAUCAACAGAACCCAUGAAAUAAGUCCCCUCCGGACUAUUAACAAGGAAAUUCAACAAGUGUCUUCACCUUUUAUCUGUCCAACCAACCGACAUGAGUGUGCAGCCAUAUACCUUCCAAGCAACUUCAUGUUUCUUCUUUAAGUCAUCAGUUUUUGUCUUUGCCUUCUCAAGUAAAGGAACCCUCAACUCAUGAUACGUUGGAGGCUUUAAACCCGGCCCAUAUUGCCCUAUGGACUCGAUCAUUGCUUCAAAUCUCCUUGAAUUUGAAGUAUUGAAUGGUAUGCCACAUUCGUAGAAAAAGUCGGUAAUGUGCAUAUGGACUCUCUCCUUUUCCUCCGGUGUCCUCAAACGAUUUUUAUACUCGUUUGGUUCAAACGCUUGCUAUGCUUCUCCUCUACAACUUCUUCGGGAGUCUUCUUUAGAAGUGCUUCAACCGUCUUUGUUGGAGCUUUUCAUUGUGGCUUUUGGAAUUGAAAUACAACUUUCUUCCUUUUAAAAGCCAUCCUAGAACUUGGGAUAGUGUUAGAAGAAGUAUUGGAAGCCAUGGUUGGACGAACAGAUGAUUGUUCUUUUUGCACUUCUACUACAUCAUCAUCUAGCUCAGGUGGCUUGUUCCUCUUUCUACUAUUCAAAGCCGCUUGCAUCUCCCUCAUAAUUUCUGUUGUUGUUUUGGGGCACUUCUCUACGUCUCCAAAAUUUCCUGCUAAAUGUUGUUUCAACCUUUUGAUUCCCGAAUGACAUUGCUUCCAACAAAGGAUACAUUGCACUAUAUCCUUAUUACUCAUGUCCGACCAAUACCCAUAUUCCAACCCGGGUGGUUUGAUUUGGCCUUUCUUUUCAGGUCCUUGGUUAUAUCAUAACCACCGGCCCCUGAACUUUCCGUCAUUUUACUUUCUACACAAUACAAUCAAAUAAAAAUAUAUUAAUCAAUAUGAAUAUUGAUAUUUACCUAAGUACAAUGAUAUAAUUUUGAUUUUUAAAGUUUCUUUAAAAGUUGCACGCAUUUAUAUAAACAUAGUCAAUAUGUAUGUGUUCAUUAUCUAAUAUAUAUAAAUUUUCUAUGUAUCAGUAGUUCAGUACAUAUAUUGUAUAUAUAUAUAUAUAUAUAUAUAUAUAUAUAUAU